CCCCCCCCCCACCCUCACUCUCCAAAGACAAAACCUGAAAGAUGUCGUUAUACGCCCACCAGCAUCUUGUUGUCCUGUGCCGUUUGGAGACUUGUGCAUCAAAGGCAAAAAAAAGAAAAAAAACUUUUCCAGAUAAAAUUCUUUCCUUGACGCUGGGAAGUUAAAAGAUUUAUAUGAAAAAAAAGAAAUGAUUAUUCUAAGUUUUUUGUUUCUAUGAGGAAACGGGGUAAAAGCGGACGAGGGACACUAGUUCGGUGUUGCUGCUUUUGUCUUUGUUUGCAUGAGUAGCACAUGUUAAUACAUUUUAAUCGAGCCUUAGGUUUAAAUUCUUUUGCUUUUUUCUUUCCAAAUCCCUACCAAGUCUCAGUAAUCUCGGCCACGUUUCUGAUCGCUUUGGACUACUCGAGUUAUUUAAGGAAGUGAAAUAUUAUUCCGUGUGAAUAUGAAUAGAGAAACUACAAUUUUUCCUUUUGUUUUUUUGGCUUUUCUCUUGUUUUCUUUUGGCGACUGUAGACCUGUUUGCAGGUCGUGAUGACGCUUCACUUAAAGACAGUUCAGGGUUCUGUUUUUCUUCUUCUUCACUUCUCUGGACGCCAGAGGGCAACAUUUGUCCUCCCGCCGGCCUUUUUCCUUUCAGCGGCAUUGAGCAGUUUUAUUCCAUUUGAGCAGAGAUCGUCUGAAGAAACACUUUUGGACUCUUUAAAAAAAAAAAGCCACAGAAAACAUCCUUACCCACUACAUUAGUGCGAAACUUCUGUUGAAUAUGGGGGCUUUUCUCACGUGGCUCCACCGGGUAUGAAUGUGUUAAGGAACCCGUCUGUACGCCUGAUGAUGAUGAUGAUGGAGGAACCCUUUUUUUUUCAUUCCCUCCUCGUUCCAUUUGAGCGGUUUCUGAAUUGACCGGACCAGCUGGGUCUCCUCUUCCUCUCUCCUUCCUCUUCAUCCACAAGUGAUCCUCAUUUCUGAAAUCAGUGUUUUCGUUUUUUGUUUUUUUUUCUACCAGUGUAUUUACCAGUGACGAGGGGAAUCGGGGGGGGGCGUCGUAUUGGAUCUGACUGGGAGUCCUGAGGAGAUGAAACACGGCCAGUGAUCUUUUUGGGGGUUUUGUUGAGUUUAAGUGAUUUGUCCACGAGAGGGACGCAUCUCCUGGAUGCGAUGCUUUUGUCUGCCAUGUCUGCAUCUAAUCCCGCGCUGUCCGGUCAAUUCGGGACAUCGGGACUCCCAGGUUGUGUGAAUGUUUGUGUGCUUGUGCAGUUGUUGUGCGUCUGAGGGCGAGACAGGGUUUCAAACUGAGGGAAAGACCUCACGCGUCCGGGCAAAGGAAGAUUUAACUUGAAAUUGCCAGUGUAUAGAAAUCGAUUUCAUUAUUUCUCUCUCUGUAUCUUUGUUUUGUUUGUUUUUUGACUUGGAAAAACAUGAAUAAAAGUUUUACUACAC
ensembl:lncRNA